GAUGAACGCUGGCGGCGUGCUUAACACAUGCAAGUCGAACGGAAAGACCCUGCUCUUGUGGGGUGCUCGAGUGGCGAACGGGUGAGUAAAACGCGUGUAACCCGCACUUAACAUAGGGAUAACUCCUGGAAACUGGGGCUAUUAUCGGAGAGGAGCUCCUGCAGCAUGGUGGGGGUUGGAAAGUUUCGGCGGUUGGGGCUGGUCUCGCGGCAUAUGCGCUUGUUGGUGGGGUAGUGGCUUACCCAGGCUUUGACGGGUAGCCGGCCUGAGAGGGUGACCGGCCACAGUGGGACUGGGAUGCGGCCCAGACGGCUACGGGAGGCAGGAGUGGAGAAUAGUGCACGAUGGGCGGAAGCAGGAUGCAGCAUCGCCGCGUGCGGGAUGACGGCCUUCGGGUAGUAAACCGCUUUCGCGUGUGACGAAGCGUGAGGGCGGUAACUGGGCAAAGAGGCACCGCCUAAUUACGU
rnacentral:rRNA from 1 species